rnacentral:lncRNA from 1 species
GUCAGUACUUCAUCAGUUGUCGAUAGGUCUGAGCGAUAGGUACCCGUCAAGCGUCUAUUGCGCGUAUUUCUUUCCAAAGGGAAGAAUUGUGCUUUGCAGCAGAGGGAGCUGAGUGCAUUGUAGAUUUCAAGUUCAUUCUUAUGGGUUUCUGAGAGCACGCUAUGGCUGAUUCCAUCGUGCAUUUCCAGCUGUAUACUUUGCUCGUUGCGAUUCCUGAUUAUAACUCCUGGCACUGAUAUCCACUCCAGUGUACGCUGGUUGAGAGAGUAGAAUGUGCGUUGCAGUUAACAUCUGAAUCAAUGGGAGCGUGUUAGUAUGAUGAAGAUGCAUCCGACUCCCACAUAUGCUGUGCACUUCAGUGUUAUCAUUCUCAUGAAACAGCGUCAGAAGCAUUUUCUUCCUCGGCUUGUCGUCACAAGUAAAGCGAUCGAGUUUGAGUCAGGAACGGUUUGGCACAGUAGCACCCGUUAGUCACCGCUUCCUUUUCCAUGUGAUAAGAACGGUGACUACGGAGUUCAAGCUUUACUACACAUCCCUGUGCACGAGUCGCCAAGAUGUGAUGGCUGAGCAAAGAAUCCCUCUCCUC